CCUACGGGUGGCAGCAGUGAGGAAUAUUGGUCAAUGGACGAGAGUCUGAACCAGCCAAGUAGCGUGAAGGAUGACUGCCCUAUGGGUUGUAAACUUCUUUUAUAAAGGAAUAAAACGUGGCACGUGUGCCUUUUUGCAUGUACUUUAUGAAUAAGGAUCGGCUAAUUCGGUGCCAGCAGCCGCGGUAAUACGGGGGAUGCGAGCGUUCUCCGUAUUUAUUGGGUUUAAAGGGUGCGCAGGCGGAAGAUCAAGUCAGCGGUAAAAUUGAGAGGCGCAACCUCUUUUCGCCGUUGAAACUGUCGGUCUUGAGUGGGCGAGAAGUAUGCGGAAUGCGUGGUGUAGCGGUGAAAUGCAUAGAUAUCACGCAGAACUCCGAUUGCGAAGGCAGCAUACCGGCGCCCGACUGACGCUGAGGCACGAAAGCGUGGGUAUCGAACAGGAUUAGAUACCCGUGUAGUC
rnacentral:rRNA from 1 species